rnacentral:misc_RNA from 1 species
GUGAGACCUUUCAACUGGAUUGGACCCAGGAUGGACUUCAUUCCUGGCAUUGAUGGCCCAAGUGAGGGUGUUCCGAGGGUUCUGGCAUGCUUUAGCAAUGCUCUUUUACGCCGAGAGCCUCUCAAGCUUGUGGAUGGUGGUCAAUCUCAGAGAACUUUCGUUUAUAUCAAGGAUGCAAUUGAAGCUGUUCUCUUGAUGAUCGAAAAUCCUGCCAGGGCUAAUGGUCACAUUUUUAAUGUGGGAAACCCGCACAAUGAAGUUACUGUUAGGCAGCUUGCUGAAAUGAUGAC